rnacentral:tRNA from 2 species
GGGCGAUUAACUCAGGGGUAGAGUGUCACGUUGACAUCGUGGAAGUCAUUGGUUCAAAUCCAAUAUCGCCCACCA